rnacentral:rRNA from 1 species
AUUGAACGCUGGCGGCAUGCUUUACACAUGCAAGUCGAACGGCAGCGGGGGCUUCGGCCCGCCGGCGAGUGGCGAACGGGUGAGUAAUGCAUCGGAACGUGCCCAGUCGUGGGGGAUAACUACGCGAAAGCGUAGCUAAUACCGCAUACGUCCUGAGGGAGAAAGCGGGGGAUCUUCGGACCUCGCGCGAUUGGAGCGGCCGAUGUCGGAUUAGCUAGUUGGUGAGGUAAAGGCUCACCAAGGCGACGAUGGAUAGGGGAACUGAGAGGUUUAUCCCCCACACUGGUACUGAGACACGGACCAGACUCCUACGGGAGGCAGCAGUGAGGAAUAUUGGUCAAUGGACGCAAGUCUGAACCAGCCACGUCGCGUGAAGGAAGACGGCCCUACGGGUUGUAAACUUCUUUAGUCGGGGACGAAUAAAUGACGGUACCCGAAGAAUAAGCCACGGCUAACUACGUGCCAGCAGCCGCGGUAAGUCACACUACA